rnacentral:lncRNA from 11 species
UCUCCCCUCAAACCAGAUGCCUGAACACUUUUUCCCAAGGUAAACGGACUGAAGACAACAACUUGCCAGAUGCAAACCUCCCUGGAAACUCUCAAGGGAAUCGGUUUAAUUAGCAUUUGCUCUCUCCGCUAAUCUCGCGCUUUUCCUCCUAUUCUGCUUCUCAGAGCGGAAUGUUUCCAAAAACAAUCUCCUAUCAAAAGGAGCACUCUCCGGGGAACCAGGCUCUGUUUCAAGGGCUUUUGUAAUUAACUGUGGGCUAAAACUGUCAACAGGGGACAUCUGGAAGGGAGCAGAAUCUUGCUGAGUCGGCACAAACCCCAUAUCCUCUUCAGACUGAUCCAUAAUGGCUGUGGGGUCAUGACUCGAGGGUCCCUGAGACAUCACAGGAGGAGGAUGAAACAUGCAGUGGCUGAGAACGCUCCAGAGAGCUCUCAGCUGCUGUGUGCCUUCCUCCCAUAUCUUUUCCGCAUAAGAAUGUGUCAAGCCACCACAUCCUUAAGUCGAGAGGACAGGAAAAAUGAGGAGGGCUUGAGGAAUGACUUGAGAAACUGCAAGUCGCUUCUGGUGUGAGAGAAAUUUCCGUCUGCAAGGAUGUUGCCCAGGGGACGGCCGGAUGUUUUUGAUGUUUUUACCAUCCUUGUGGGAGGCUUCUCUCAUGUCCCCGCAUGGAGCUGGAGCUGAUAGAGGGAGCUCAUCCACGCUCUUCCCCGGGUUGGAUUUGAACCUGGCAACCUUCAGGUCAGUGAUCCAACCUUCAAGUCACAAGGCUUUAACCUACUACGCCACCAGAGGCUCCACCGCAAAGUAGUGAGGGAACACUGUAUUACCAUAUCCUUUUCUCCCACCUUGGAGAAGCACCUGCUUAGGCCAGGCCCUGCUUUCCCUGCAGCCUGUCAACACAUAGUUCCAAAACUCCUAAAAUGCAAAAACUUCUCUUUCCCUAAGAACAAUGCCAAGGAUCAGAAUCCUGCUUUCCCUACAGAAAAACUGACUCCCUGCAACACAUAUCAUGACUCCAAAAUGCACUCCUACCUCUUCCCUUGAGAAAAGAAGGCCCAAAGUGACCAGACUGAUUUCUUGCAAAUCUGACACUCCCAAACACCAUCUCC